UAAUACGAAGGGGGCUAGCGUUGCUCGGAAUUACUGGGCGUAAAGGGCGCGUAGGCGGCGAUCUCAGUCAGGCGUGAAAGCCCCGGGCUCAACCUGGGAACUGCGCUUGAGACGGGGUUGCUUGAGGACGGGAGAGGGUGGUGGAAUUCCCAGUGUAGAGGUGAAAUUCGUAGAUAUUGGGAAGAACACCGGUGGCGAAGGCGGCCACCUGGCCCGUUACUGACGCUGAGGCGCGAAAGCGUGGGGAGCAAACAGGAUUAGAUACCCUGGUAGUCCACGCUGUAAACGAUGUGCGCUGGAUGUUGGGUGACCUAGUCACUCAGUGUCGUAGCCAACGCGGUAAGCGCACCGCCUGGGGAGUACGGCCGCAAGGUUGAAACUCAAAUGAAUUGACGG
rnacentral:rRNA from 1 species